rnacentral:misc_RNA from 1 species
GGAUUAUUGGAGUUAACCCUGGAUAAAUCGUUUUAGCUUUUGCAUUGGUGCCUAAUUUAGUUAUAAACGAUUAUAUGCUUUCCUAAUUAACAUAAAUGUGAGGUGGUCGUCAAGAUCAUGGAAGGAAACUCGCACCGUGCUUAUUUCACCGGAUGUUUACGUUUUGCUCUUGAAUAGAAUGUCCAAGUCCAUCUUAAUUGACUGCGAUGCUGGAAUUGACGAUGCCCAGGCACUGUUUUUGGCCCUCUGCUCACCGGAAGUCAAUGUGAUAGCGAUCACCGUCGUCCAAGGAAAUGUCCUCCCUAAACAAGUGUCAGUCAACGUACUGCGCAUACUCCGUGUGGCAGACCGGUUAGAUAUUCCUAUCUAUGUCGGAAGCGAUAAAAGUUUACUGGACAUCGACCGACCCCACGACGACAACCCCUACCACGGCCGGGACGGACUGGGAGAUACACCGGAUCCGGAACCAGUCGACGAAUCUCUCAUCAAAGCAGAAACGGCAUCGAACGCAAUAGUCCGUCUUUGUCGAGAACAUAAAGGUAGUUUGACGCUUGUAUGUUUGGGACCGUUAACUAAUGUGGCCACAGCAAUAAGACAGGACCCCUCCCUCGGAAAGAAUCUACAACACUGUGUUAUAAUGGGCGGUAAUUACUACGGUAAGACAACACAAUAAUGCUAAAAUUAUGUGAAAUGAGAUGAUUUUAAUGACCAUAAAGAAUAACUGUAUAAAAUAAUCUCCUUAUAUGAAUAAAAGCUGCAACUCUUGAAGGAAGGUUAACAAAAAUACAUGUACCACACUCACACAACAAUAUAAAAUUUCUGAUGUAUGGCAUUUCUACGUAUUAAACGUAGCUUGCUCAGAUUCUGUAGAUGGCACUGAAAACUGAACGUACUUUCCGUGUUUUAUUCGAACACUCUCUUCAACUGGUACACCAUUGCACUGUUCACCAUUCACAGGUGUAGACAUGUCUUUCAGUACAAUUGCAUUGUCUGUAAAAGUUUUACAUUUCUCUACUUCUGUUUGAUGUAAAUGUUUGUAUUUUCCAUAAACUACCGUAUUGGGCUCUCGUCCAUCUACGUCGUCAAGACGACGUUUUGCACUAUAUGCUAUAAGAACAAGGAAAAUGCUAAAGCAGGCAAACUGACCUUUGCCUCUUUCAGUGUUCGAGUGUUUUAACUGACAAACUACGGUAGACAAAGCAUCACAGUCGAAGGUUAUCAAAGUGGAAUUCGGGGAAAAGCUCGGACAUCUUUGGCCAGUUGUUAAAUUUUUGUGCUCCAGGGAAGGGUGUAAUCCGUAUAUAUAGGUAAUAUUGUCCAUUUCCCGGGAGUUUUCUAGCCACGUGGGAGAGGUGAUAUCGAGGUCACUUAGUACUUGCCGGUUUUUGUAGGACAGGAGUACUCCCCCUGUUUCCAAACAAAGCACGGACGCGUUUCCAAAAAGCCUUGGACUGUCCAUGAUUUUGAAACAGUCGUUGUUGAUGAGACGCCAUGAAUCAUCUGAGCAAGAAUCUAGAAACGAUAAAAUACACAUGUACAAUGUAUAUGGAUGAUCAAGUCGAGAGGACACUGUAGCCUGUAUCUCCCUCCAAUGAAAUAUGACAAUGAAAUAUAGUUAUUAAUGAAUCAAAUCACACGAAUUUUACUUCCGGAACAAAUAUAAAGAUUCAAACACUUGAUAACGAAAUUUUGUACAUGACAAUAAAUUUUUAUA